CCUACGGGAGGCAGCAGUCGAGAAUCAUUCACAAUGGGGGAAACCCUGAUGGUGCGACGCCGCGUGGGGGAAUGAAGGUCUUCGGAUUGUAAACCCCUGUCAUGUGGGAGCAAAUUAAAAAGAUAGUACCACAAGAGGAAGAGACGGCUAACUCUGUGCCAGCAGCCGCGGUAAUACAGAGGUCUCAAGCGUUGUUCGGAAUCACUGGGCGUAAGGCGUGCGUAGGCUGUUUCGUAAGUCGUGUGUGAAAGGCGCGGGCUCAACCCGCGGACGGCACAUGAUACUGCGAGACUAGAGUAAUGGAGGGGGAAGCGGAAUUCUCGGUGUAGCAGUGAAAUGCGUAGAUAUCGAGAGGAACACUCGUGGCGAAGGCGGGUUCCUGGACAUUAACUGACGCUGAGGCACGAAGGCCAGGGGAGCGAAAGGGAUUAGAUACCCUUGUAGUC
rnacentral:rRNA from 1 species